GAUGAACGCUGGCGGCGUGCUUAACACAUGCAAGUCGAACGAUGAAGCCCAGCUUGCUGGGUGGAUUAGUGGCGAACGGGUGAGUAACACGUGAGUAACCUGCCCUUAACUCUGGGAUAAGCCUGGGAAACUGGGUCUAAUACCGGAUAGGAGCGUCCACCGCAUGGUGGGUGUUGGAAAGAUUUAUCGGUUUUGGAUGGACUCGCGGCCUAUCAGCUUGUUGGUGAGGUAAUGGCUCACCAAGGCGACGACGGGUAGCCGGCCUGAGAGGGUGACCGGCCACACUGGGAAUGAGACAAGGCCCAGACUCCCACGGGAGGGAGGAGGGGGGAAUAAUGCACAAUGGGCGCAAGCCUGAUGCAGCGACGCCGCGUGAGGGAUGACGGCCUUCGGGUUGUAAACCUCUUUCAGUAGGGAAGAAGCGAAAGUGACGGUACCUGCAGAAGAAGCACCGGCUAACUACGU
rnacentral:rRNA from 1 species